rnacentral:pre_miRNA from 1 species
CACCUACUCCCUCCGUUCGAAAUUACUUGUCUCGGAAAUGGAUGUAUCUAGAACUAAAAUACGUCUAGAUACAUCCAUUUCCACGACAAGUAAUUCCGAACGGAGGGAGUAGAUC